GUGCUGGGUCUUCGUUGCUGCGCUCAGGCUUUCUCUAGUUGCAGCAAGCAGGGGGCUACUCUUUGAUGUGGUGCUCACGCUUCUCGCGUGGUGGCUUCUCUCGUUGCAGAGCGUGGGCUCUAGAGCACAGGCUCAGUAAUCGUGAUGCACGGGCUUAGCUGCCCUGUGGCAUGUGGAACCUUCCCGACCAGGGAUCAAACCCCUGUCACCUGCAUUGGCAGGCAGAUUCUUAACCACUGAACUACUAGAGAAGUCCAAGAAGCAUUUCUUAAUCACUCUUUAAUUUUGCUCUUCCUCACGGCCUUCACUCCAGGCCAAGCCACAUCCACGGACGCAUUCUCUUCACUCUCUGAAAUCACUUCAAUUACUCAUUGGUUCCCUUAGCCUCUGUCUUCCUGCUCCAGACAUCAGUAUCCUGAGAGCAGGCCUCCACCAUGAUGCUCAUCCAACACACUCAGCCACCUGGAAAGCACCUGGUACCCAGUAAGUGAACCACAAGUAUUAAUCUGGAGCCUCCCUGGGGGGAAAACUCCAGAUUCUUCACUGUUCCUCACUCCCGCCUGCUAUCAGAGGCCUGUUCUGAAAUCUGAUCCUGGGUUGCUACUAAGCACUGUGCAUUGUCCCCCAGGGAAAGGGAGGUUGUGGCAAAGCACCGUGGUUUGAGCUCCCUGAGUCCUACAGCAGAUUCCCACUGGCUGUCUAAUUUACAUAUGAGAAGCUGAAACCGACUCACUUGAUUAUGGAGGCUAAGAAGAGGAGACCCAAGAAAGCCAGUGAUGUAACUCCAGUCCAAGUCUGAAGACCGGAGAACCAGGAGUGCCUAUGGUAUAAGUCCUGAUCCAAGGACAGGAGGAAUAGGAGCACCACAGGCCUUCCCUGGUGGCUCAACUGUACAGAAUCUGAGAAUCCAUCUGCCAACACAGGGUGCUUGGGUUUGACCCCUGGGUCGGGAAGAUAUCCUGGAGAAAGAAAUGGCAACCCACUCCAGUAUUCUUGGCUGGGAAAUCCCAUGGACCGAGGAGCCAGGUGGGCUCCAGCCCUUGGGGUCACAAAGAGUCAGAUACAACUUAGUGACUUAACAACAGCAAGGAGCACCAGAAUUUUGGGCAAGCCAGUUGCAGAAGAUGACACUGGAU
ensembl:lncRNA